rnacentral:tRNA from 1 species
UCCUCGUUAGUAUAGUGGUGAGUAUCCCCGCCUGUCACGCGGGUUCCCGGGGUUCGAUUCCCCGACGGGGAG